rnacentral:tRNA from 1 species
GCGUGUGUAGCUCAGGUGGUUAGAGCACGUCACUGAUAAUGACGAGGCCGUAGGUUCGAGUCCUACCACACGCACAA